UGUGGGAGCUGGCUUGCCAGCGAUGGCGUCCUGGCAUACAACAUCGGUGUUGAAUUUGCCGGCCUCAUCGCUGGCAAGCCAGCUCCCACA
rnacentral:misc_RNA from 1 species